UUCAGUUCGGCUGGAUCCAAGACAGGUGUUGCAUGGCUGUCGUCAGCUCGUGUCGUGAGAUGUUGGGUUAAGUCCCGCAACGAGCGCAACCCUCGCCUUUAGUUGCCAUCAUUAAGUUGGGCACUCUAGAGGGACUGCCGAUGAUAAGUCGGAGGAAGGUGGGGAUGGCGUCAAGUCCUCAUGGCCCUUACGGGUUGGGCUACACACGUGCUACAAUGGCGGCGACAAUGGGCAGCGAAGGGGCGACCCGGUGCAAAUCCCAAAAAGCCGUCUCAGUUCGGAUUGUUCUCUGCAACUCGAGAGCAUGAAGGUGGAAUCGCUAGUAAUCGCGUAACAGCAUGACGCGGUGAAUACGUUCCCGGGCCUU
rnacentral:rRNA from 1 species